AUACGUAGGGGGCAAGCGUUAUCCGGAUUUACUGGGUGUAAAGGGAGCGUAGACGGUUCUGCAAGUCUGGAGUGAAAGCCCGGGGCUCAACCCCGGGACUGCUUUGGAAACUGUGGAACUGGAGUGCAGGAGAGGUAAGUGGAAUUCCUAGUGUAGCGGUGAAAUGCGUAGAUAUUAGGAGGAACACCAGUGGCGAAGGCGGCUUACUGGUCCAUUACUGACGCUGAGGUGCGAAAGCGUGGGGAGC
rnacentral:rRNA from 1 species